ensembl:lncRNA
UGGGUGCUAGGGGUUUGUCCAAUAAGAUUGAACCUGGACAUCGCUGAGAGCAAGGGGACUGGCAGAGAGAUAACCGCUCUGUUCUUUCUCUCUUUGUAUCUCUCCCUCUCUUCAACUCUCCCUCUCUUCAACUCUCUCCCUCGUCUCUCGUUCCCCGCUUUAUUUGGUUCAUCUCACUUAUCUGUCUUUGUCUCUCGUUCUCUCUCUACACCUCUCUCUCUGCACCUCUCUCUCUACACCUCUCUCUCUCUCUACACCUCUCUCUCUCUCUACACCUCUCUCUCUCUCUCUACACCUCUCUCUCCCUCUACACUUCUCUCUCUCUCUCUACACCCCUCUCUCUCUACACCUCUCUCUCUGCACCUCUCUCUCUACACCUCUCUCUCUCUGCACCUCUCUCUCUACACCUCUCUCUCUCUCUACACCUCUCUCUCUACACCUCUCUCUCUCUCUACACCUCUCUCUCUCUCUCUACACCUCUCUCUCUCUCUCUACACCUCUCUCUCUCUCUACACCUCUCUCUCUCUCUCUACACCUCUCUCUCUCUCUCUACACCUCUCUCUCUCUACACCUCUCUCUCUCUCUCUCUACACCUCUCUCUCUCUCUCUCUACACCUCUCUCUCUCUGCACCUCUCUCUCUCUCUCUACACCUCUCUCUCUCUCUCUACACCUCUCUCUCUCUACACCUCUCUCUCUCUCUACACCUCUCUCUCUCUCUCUACACCUCUCUCUCUCUCUCUCUACACCUCUCUCUCUCUACACCUCUCUCUCUCUACACCUCUCUCUCUCUCUACACCUCUCUCUCCCUCUACACCUCUCUCUCUCUCUACACCUCUCUCUCUCUCUACACCUCUCUCUCUACACCUCUCUCUCUCUCCCUCUACACCUCUCUCUCUCUCUCUACACCCCUCUCUUUCUCUACACCUCUCUCUCUGCACCUCUCUCUACACCUCUCUCUCUCUCUCUCUACACCUCUCUCUCUCUCUACACCUCUCUCUCUUUGCACCUCUCUCUCUACACCUCUAUCUCUCUCUCUACACCUCUCUCUCUCUCUACACCUCUCUCUCUCUCUACACCUCUCUCUCUCUCUACACCUCUGUCUCUCUCUAAACCUCUCUCUCUACACCUCUCUCUCUCUCUCUACACCUCUCUCUCUCUCUACACCUCUCUCUCUCUACACCUCUCUCUCUCUAUCUCUACACCUCUCUCUCUCUCUCUACACCUCUCUCUCUCUCUCUACACCUCUCUCUCUCUCUCUACACCUCUCUCUCUCUCUACACCUCUCUCUCUACACCUCUCUCUCUCUGCACCUCUCUCUCUCUCUCUCUACACCUCUCUCUCUCUCUACACCUCUCUCUCUCUACACCUCUCUCUCUCUACACCUCUCUCUCUCUCUCUACACCUCUCUCUCUCUCUACACCUCUCUCUCUACACCUCUCUCUCUCUCUCUCUACACCUCUCUCUCUCUACACCUCUCUCUCCCUCUACACCUCUCUCUCUCUCUACACCCCUCUCUCUCUACACCUCUCUCUACACCUCUCUCUGCACCUCUCUCUCUACACCUCUCUCUCUACACCUCUCUCUCUCUCUCUCUCUACACCUCUCUCUCUCUCUCUCUCUACACCUCUCUCUCUCUCUCUCUACACCUCUCUCUCUACACCUCUCUCUAUACCUCUCUCUCUCUACACCUCUCUCUCUCUCUACACCUCUCUCUCUCUCUACACCUCUCUCUCUCUCUACACCUCUCUCUCUCUCUACACCUCUCUCUCUCUCUACACCUCUCUCUCUCUCUCUACACCUCUCUCUACACCUCUCUCUACACCUCUCUCUACACCUCUCUCUCUCUCUACACCUCUCUCUCUCUCUACACCUCUCUCUGUCUACACCUCUCUCUGUCUACACCUCUCUCUGUCUACACCUCUCUCUCUACACCUCUCUCUCUACACCUCUCUCUCUCUCUCUCUCUACACCUCUCUCUCUCUCUCUCUCUACACCUCUCUCUCUCUCUCUCUACACCUCUCUCUCUACACCUCUCUCUAUACCUCUCUCUCUCUACACCUCUCUCUCUCUCUACACCUCUCUCUCUCUCUACACCUCUCUCUCUCUCUACACCUCUCUCUCUCUCUACACCUCUCUCUCUCUCUACACCUCUCUCUCUCUCUCUACACCUCUCUCUACACCUCUCUCUACACCUCUCUCUCUCUCUACACCUCUCUCUCUCUCUACACCUCUCUCUGUCUACACCUCUCUCUGUCUACACCUCUCUCUGUCUCUCUACACCUAUCUCUCUCUCUUUCUCUCUCCAGACGGUCAUCAACGUUGACCCUUGA